rnacentral:lncRNA from 1 species
CACUAUAUAUAUCGGGGAAGGCAACAGUGCAAGAGGCCCUCGGAAAAAACAGACUUGCUCUCUCUCCCUCUCUCUCGAUUGAGCUCUCUGUCUUCAUUUCACUGUUGCCCGAUCACCUCUCUGACUUGACCGUCGGAGGGUCCCCGCCGGAGCCGCCUCCGGUCAGUGUGGACUUUCUUUUUUGCAGGCGCUCGUUUCCGACGAUCAGACGACGAGGGGAUUGGCCACAACAGAUUGACGCGCCAGGUAGGGGCGGC